GGGUUACCUUUCCAGAAACAAACUGUGCAGAGAUGAAUCCAAGCCACACCUCUUGCCUCUGUCGUUUCGCUUCACCUCCCACAAAGUUUUUUCUGCAAAACAGUUUUUAUAGCAAUCAAUCAUCAUUCCCCACUGCUUUUGCUUCAUUGCUUUUUACUUCGUUUUCAUCGUCGCUCAUGCUGAUAUGUGGAGCCGUUCUAUGAGGCUUCACCGAGAAUCCAACUCUCGAUUCUUAAUUAGAAAACCCUAAAUCGUUUUAAGUUAGCUCCGAGGAUGGUAAAUCAACAGUUCCAUUUAUUUGAGCUCAAGGCUGGUCGCUCAUGCCAAUAUAUGGAGCCGUUCUGCAGGCAGAGUGUUGUCAGGAGGCUUUUCCGGUUCUGGAAAACUCGAAAUGUGAAGAAAGGUGGGGAGUUGAUGGGCUUCAUCUGGUACUGCUAGAAAGGAAGGUAACGAAUCUUGGUCUUCAUUUCGCUUUAAUAACAGGUACUCAUUCCGAAAUAAGGUGAUUACGUGCUCUGUGGAAUGGUUCGCAGUCCACCUUGAUUCAUCUCUGAAUCAGUGUACAUCGGCUCAAUACUUUUAGAAACAUUUUGAAGCAAUGCAGACUGUAUGAUCUAAGUGGGUUUGAUGUAACGAAGACCAACCAAAGCUUCCGCCUUUCAGACUCCCAUGUAUCAAUUCGUUUUACAGAGCAGACACAAUUUCAUGAGUUGCCUGAGAACAGGGGCUUGAUCCCGAUGGAACUCUUCAGGUUCGGGGAUUUACGAUCAUUUUGGCUACACAAACACUGACUUGCCAGAUAUUGUUGGUGACGUGUUUUGGAAGUAAACGUUUGUCUUAGUAUUUUUGUCAAUCGUGCUAUGCAACUCCUUGAUAAAUUGGUUAUCCACGGCGUGGAACCACGGGUUAUUGCAGCUACCAAUAUCAAUCCAAAAUUGGCUGGAGGACGUCCUUUCCUAAAUCCAGCCUCAGUAACCCUUUUCUAAUUUGCCGGUGAGUGUGAGGCCAUCACAAGUUGCAUCUAGGGGUAAACCUUUGUAAGGAAACCCAUCCUGCUUAUUAACUUCCUCUGUCACACUGCUGUUGCUGUCAAUACCACUUGGAAUCACAGUAGAAGUGCAGGUUGAAGACCUCCAAUGAGAAAGGGGUAAAGAUAAUGGUCCGUGUCCGGCUGUAAGAGAUGACGUUCCUUUCGAGGAGUCCCAUGUUGAAGAUUGUGGACCUCUACAAAGAAGCCACGUAAUAGUUGAACUCCAGAAGAUCGAAGUGAAAGUUGGAGUCUGGUUUCACAACUGCUUCUUUUAUCUUUAAUUCCCAGCGUUUAAUAAGUUGUCAUUGAACUAUAUUGCAAUGUUUUCUGUUCUUUUGUUUUCUUUUUAAAUCAGCCUUACUAAUUUCUCAACUACAAUGCAGUAUUUUAAACCCCUAUUGAAUUGUUAUAAUGUUAUGAAUAUUAGUGCCAAUCAUUUCAUAUAAUGUUUCAAUUAAGCA